rnacentral:rRNA from 1 species
AUUGAACGCUGGCGGCAGGCCUAACACAUGCAAGUCGAGCGGAGCGGCUGACGGGUGAGUAAUUCCUCCUUAUCUGCCUGGUAGUGGGUGAUAUCGUUCGGUUACGGACCCUAAUACCGCAUCCUAUCAGAUCUGCCUCGGUCGUAUUAGCUCGUUGGUGAGGUAAUGGCUCACCAAGGCUACGAUCCGUAACUGGUCUGAGAGGAUGAUCAGUCAAACGGGAACGGAGACACGGACCAGACUCCUACGGGAGGCAGCAGUGGGGAAUAUUGGACAAUGGUCGAAAGCCUGAUCCAGCCAUGCCGCGUGUGUGAAGAAGGUCUUCGGAUUGUAAAGCACUUUAAGUUGGGAGGCGUUACCGAAAGAAUAAGCACCGGCUAACUCUGUGCCAGCAGCCGCGGUAAUAG